rnacentral:rRNA from 1 species
AGGACGAACGCUGGCGGCGUGCUUAACACAUGCAAGUCGAGCGGAAAGGCCCUUCGGGGUACUCGAGCGGCGAACGGGUGAGUAACACGUGAGUAAUCUGCCCCUAGCUCUGGGAUAGCUCCGGGAAACCGGGAUUAAUACCGGAUACGGCCACUUUAGACAUCUGUUGUGGUGGAAAGAAUUUUGGCUAGGGAUGAGCUCGCGGCCUAUCAGCUUGUUGGUGGGGUAACGGCCUACCAAGGCGACGACGGGUAGCCGGCCUGAGAGGGCGACCGGCCACACUGGGACUGAGACACGGCCCAGACUCCUACGGGAGGCAGCAGUGGGGAAUAUUGCGCAAUGGGCGAAAGCCUGACGCAGCGACGCCGCGUGGGGGAUGAAGGCCUUCGGGUUGUAAACCCUUUCAGCAGGGACGAAGCGAAAGUGACGGUACCUGCAGAAGAAGCGCCGGCUAACUACGUGCCAGCAGCCGC